CGGCCGGCCCGGGCGACCGAAGCGAAAGCAGGGUGGCAGGGAGGGAGGAAGGCGGAGGGCCGGCGCCGCGGCCCGCGGCUCACUGCGCCUGCGUCGGAGCUUCCCCCCACGUGGGGCGCGCUCCGCUUCCUUCUGCGCCUGCGCGCGAACGGCUCCUCUCGGGACCCACGUGCGGCCGGGGAUUUUAGCCCUGCGGUAGCAGCUGAAAUGGGAGGCGAGACUCCCCGGAGAGUAGCCGGAGCCGCUGUCGGAGGCGUCCUGCCGGGAGGAGCGCCCCCAGGAAAGGUGCUCUUCUCAGCAAGGGAAUCUGUAUGAUGUGACAUCGGUUGUUGGAGCAGAACAUUGGCUGAGCAGCCUACUAGGAGGCUAUCAAGAGACUUGGAUUUGGAAAGAAAUCUACCCUCAAUGUCAGUGCUCUUUGGAUGACAUCUUGAAGACUUCUUUGACAUUAUAUGGUUUCCAGUGGAUUUCAUGAAAUUUUAUAUCCAGUAGUUGCUUGGCAAAAGUAUUUUAGGAUUGUGUGUUUGAUCAUAUGUUUACUGUAAACAUUCUGCUAAAAGGUUUAUUUUAAUGUAGCCCUAGCCAAGAGAUCUUUGGGAUCAGUUAUAAUGGAUGUUCUAACCCUUGGCCAUAUCCUUGUAUACUUUGGAAAGGAAAGGCCUAAAAGUAAAUGGUAGAAUUGACACUAGCAUGUGCAAAAGUAUUUGUUGCCCCACUGUUUCCAGAAUUACAAAGUCCUUUUUUUCCCUGUCAAAAAUACCCUGCCCAUCUUGCAUUAGUGUCUUGGCAACUCUCAUCACUUGCAGUGGUAGCCUCAGGCAAAAAGUCAUUCUAACAUUGAGAACAAUAAAAGUUGGAGCUGAAAAAGGAAGAGUGACCUAUGUCAUUGCUUAAUUAUAAAGAGCUAUAACGACUUCUUGUUUCUAAGAACAUUGCUAAGCUGUUCUGAUCAACUAAAUGAAGCAUGCAGAGUUCAGUGUUUGUGCUAAUUAAAUUUCUUAUCUGGGUGUAGAGUAUAGCAACUGAAGGCAUUGAUUUUAAGCUCAUUUUAAUUAAAAUCUCAAAGUAUGUUUUUGUUCCUUUGUGUUAUAUAAAGCUUUACCCACAAAUAAAAUUGUAAAACCAUUUGCAAAAAA